rnacentral:snRNA from 1 species
AUAUGUGAGGGCGAUCUGGCUGCAACAUCUGUCACCCCAUUGAUCGCCAGGGUUGAUUCAGCUGAUCUGGCUGGCUAGGCAGGUGUCCCCUUCCUCCCUCACCACUCCAUGUGCGUCCCUCCUGAAGCUGCACACUUGGUGGAAGAAGACGGCCAUACCCGAUAGAGGAGGACUAUUCUUCAGUCAAGGAGAUACAAGUAGCUGCACUCCCCUGCUAGAGCCUCCAAGUAAGCUCUCAAGAACAGAACAAUUCCACUUUUUCAGGAGCUGAAGAAUUACCACCUAUAGUACAAAUGCUAGGAAUAAUGUAAGGACUA